GAGAAAGGCCUUAGGGGCAGUAAGUUCUGCUAAUUCUUAUAUCCGUGGUUAAAUUCCCCGGCUUCCUCG
rnacentral:tRNA from 1 species